rnacentral:tRNA from 3 species
GCGGGAAUAGCUCAGUUGGUAGAGCAUAACCUUGCCAAGGUUGGGGUCGCGAGUUCGAGUCUCGU